rnacentral:lncRNA from 1 species
CAUCAAACUGUCGUGAUUACCAGCCGAGGUAAACUUUUAUUAUAAGUUGAUUUUGUCUGAACAACACCCUAAAAACCUACCUCUGAGCUGAGAGUUAUUGUUGUCUUAAAAAAACAGGUUUUAACAGGAUUCCAGGACCUGUUCUGUUCCAGAGUCUUCAGUUUACACAGAGGCAGGAGAGGAGGCAGGAGAGGAGAGGCAGAGGCAGGAGAGGCAGGGGUAGAGGCGGGAGAGGAGAGGCAGGGGUAGAGACAUGAUCUUUCUGUCGUUUGUAAGUAUUAAGAAAAAACCCCAUUAUCUGAUUCAUUUAGCCCAACUCUCUCAGAAUAACUAGGCUGAUUAUCUGGCUUCUCUCUUCAUGACCUGGGUCACCUCUCCUGAUCUCUUUGUGGUGUACUCCAGGGACGACACUGGCCCCC